rnacentral:sRNA from 1 species
CCGGGGUCUUCACCGAGCUCAUUAAAGGAUUCGGUUGCCGAGGAGCCCAAGUAGAAGAAAUAUGGAGUUUAGAGCCUGAGAAUUUUGAAAAAUUAAAGCCAGUUCAUGGGUUAAUUUUUCUUUUCAAGUGGCAGCCAGGAGAAGAACCAGCAGGCUCUGUGGUUCAGGACUCCCGACUUGACACGAUAUUUUUUGCUAAGCAGGUAUGGUCCUUGGAUACUCUGAAAAGUCUCAAGAGCAACCCUUUUUAUAAACAAGACUCUAGUUUACUACUGUUUGCUACUAGUGUAGUAGUCCUCAAAACUCUUACACUCUUAAAAAUUAUUGACAUCUCCACUUACACUCUUAAAAAUUAUUGACAUCUCCACUUAUACUCUUAAAAAUUAUUGACAUCUCAAAAGAGCUUUUGUUUCUGGGAUUAUCUAUCAAUGUUUGCCAUAUUAGACAUU